AUACCUUUCUCGGCCUUUUGGCUAAGAUCAAGUGUAGUAUCUGUUCUUAUCAGUUUAAUAUCUGAUAUGUGGGCCAUUGGCUCACACGAUAUUAAAUUUAUUUUUUGAGGGGGAAGUUCCAUCACAGUAGCUUGCUGCUGGGUUCUUCGCGUGUCGCCUUUGCGUUGCACUUCUGCAUCGGCCUGGCACACCCCAC
rfam:Daucus carota subsp. sativus cultivar DH1 chromosome 1, whole genome shotgun sequence.